rnacentral:rRNA from 1 species
AGCUCCAAUAGCGUAUAUUAAAGUUGCUGCAGUUAAAAAGCUCGUAGUUGCAUUUCCGAGGCAAGGGAUUAGUCCGACCUUUGGUGGGUAUUUAAUCCUCUUGCCUCGUCCUUGAGUGGUGCUUCUUGGUAUUAAGUUAUCGAGGAGAUAGCCGCUCAUCGUUUACUGUGAGAAAAUUAGAGUGUUCAAAGCAGGCUUAUGCCGUUGAAUAUAUUAGCAUGGAAUAAUAAGAUAGGACCUCGGUACUAUUGUGUUGGUUUGAGAACCAAGGUAAUGAUAAAUAGGGACAGUUGGGGGUAUUCGUAUUCAGUUGUCAGAGGUGAAAUUCUUAGAUUUACGGAAGACGAACUACUGCGAAAGCAUUUACCAAGGAUGUUUUCA